AUUAGAGCGUCACCUUUCUGUAAUCGAUGCACCUUGCAGCCGUGGUUUCAUUCACCCUGCAACGACGCACAGUGCUACCUUCUCCUACAGAGGACAGAAUGCCCUUUCGCGAACAAAAUUGUCGGGAAAAAUGCGACUUUUAGAUUAGAGAGACGGAACUGAGACGAAAAGGAAGAAAAGAAUUGGUAAAAUCGUGGUAGCAAAUCUUCUCUGAAACGUCCGUAAAAAGCACACGAAGUCGGAAGAAUUUGGUCAAUAAUAAGGGGGUUCUUACGUUUCAGAGGAAGAAAAUAAGGGUCGUAUAGCUCGUGAGCCGGAGGUAACGUGGGAACAGCUGUUGGUUAGGUGUGGAGGAAAAGCAGAUGGGAGGGAAACUUGGAGCAGAGUGAGGGUGUUAAGAGCACGCCUCGUUCAGAAUCCGGAUGCUGGGAUUGAUGAUUGAGAAAGGCGAGCACUUGGAAUUUUGCGCGACACAGUGCGUGCUUCUUACUACACGACUAUGGUAGAUGCGAGAAUUUCUUGAGGAGUUCGCAAGGAUUAAGAGAGGAUUAAAGUCUAGAGCUUUAGUAGGAUCGUCUACAGUUGCCCAAGCAUCUGGGAACCGGACAAACGAACCGAGCGCAACGAUAUGAAAUAAAUUCGCAAGUUCCUGGGACAGAAGGUUCGCCGGAAAUAUUUUCCCCAUUGAAAGUCCCGGCAAGCUCAAGAUUCCCCCGUAUAUAUCCUUGACUUCUCUUGCUGUGUUUCUAUUACUUCUCUAUCCGCUGUAUCCAUUAGCCCCUACCCCGGAGAAGGUUCCCGGGGCAGAUGCGGCACUUCUGGUCGGGCUGUCUUAUUUAUUUUAUUUUAUCGAUUCCCGAUAGUCACGAAACAACGGCUUUGUAGCGGCGUCUUUAUUAUUACCCGCGGGGUAAUAGAGAACUCCAGUUGCAUGAGUUUCUUCUAGUCCACGCCUUCAUUACGUCGCUGAUCUAUAGGGGAUCGCGGAUCCGCGGGCCUCACAAUUGAACUCCUCGAAAAUUGCCUAGACGGCUCGAGGUUUUCAUUAGAUGAGCCAAAUGGAGCUAUAGCGCUUCAAUCAGCUGUCGAAGACAGCCUACACCCAUCUUCGGAUGUUUGAUGAUAUUAAACGUACAGUGUACGGCCCUUAUGAGUGUUCGGGACAAAACCCAUAACGUCUGGACCAGUGAACAACCAGUGAAUUUUCAACAUAAGUACCCUGUAACACUUUUUUAAGAGAAAUACAUCGAUACGCCGAUUAAUACAAAAGA